AUUGAACGCUGGCGGCAUGCCUUACACAUGCAGGUCGAACGGCAGCACGGGUGCUUGCACCUGGUGGCGAGUGGCGAACGGGUGAGUAAUACAUCGGAACAUGUCCUGUAGUGGGGGAUAGCCCGGCGAAAGCCGGAUUAAUACCGCAUACGAUCCACGGAUGAAAGCGGGGGACCUUCGGGCCUCGCGCUAUAGGGUUGGCCGAUGGCUGAUUAGCUAGUUGGUGGGGUAAAGGCCUACCAAGGCGACGAUCAGUAGCUGGUCUGAGAGGACGACCAGCCACACUGGGACUGGGACACGGCCCAGACUCCUACGGGAGGCAGCAGUGGGGAAUUUUGGACAAUGGGCGAAAGCCUGAUCCAGCAAUGCCGCGUGUGUGAAGAAGGCCUUCGGGUUGUAAAGCACUUUUGUCCGGAAAGAAAUCCUUGACUCUAAUACAGUCGGGGGAUGACGGUACCGGAAGAAUAAGCACCGGCUAACUACGUG
rnacentral:rRNA from 1 species